GCAUAUCAAUAAGCGGAGGAAAAGAAAAUAACAAUGAUUCCCCUAGUAACUGCGAGUGAAGAGGGAUAAGCUCAAAUUUUAAAUCUGUUAGGUUUUACCUGGCCGAAUUGUAAUUUGAGGAGGUGUUUUCGCGAGCGUUUGAUCGGCCCAAGUCCUUUGGGAUGAGGCAUCAUGGAGGGUGAUAAUCCCGUACGGCCGUCAUUGCUUGUAUACGAUACACUUUCAAAGAGUCAAGUUGUUUGGGAUUGCAGCUUAAAAUGGGAGGUAAAUUUCUCCUAAGGCUAAAUAUUGGCGAGAGACCGAUAGCGAACAAGUACCGUGAGGGAAAGAUGAAAAGCACUUUGAAAAGAGAGUUAAAUAGUACGUGAAAUUGUUGAAAGGGAAACGAUUGAAGCCAGUCGUACCGACGGAGAAUCAACCUUUGAAGUGUUGGUUGCUGGUAUUCGGGGAGUUUAAAAGCCUUCGUGUGCUUGCAAAUCGGUGCUUCUUGGGUGCACUUCCUCGUGUGGUAGGUUAACAUCAAUUUUGGACGUUACAAAAUGACCGGGGGAAUGUAGCUUCGAUUUUUCGAAGUGUUAUAGCCCAAGGUAGAUGUGACGACCGGGAUUGAGGAUUGCAACGAAUGCCUUCGGGCUAUCCGUCUGGCCUCUGAUGGUCUCCCUGGGGUCGAAAGCUCGCUUACGGCUUCAAGGCUCGGCUGUCAAAAGGUUAGAACGCGAUUAAAUUCGUUAAGGAUGUUGACGUA
rnacentral:rRNA from 1 species